GCUACGGGUGGCUGCAGUGGGGAAUAUUGGGCAAUGGGCGCAAGCCUGACCCAGCAACGCCGCGUGACGGCAGAAGGCUUUCGGGUUGUAAACUUCUUUUCUGCGGGACGAAGAAAGUGACGGUACCUCAGGCCUAAGCCACGGCUAACUACGUGCCAGCAGCCGCGGUAAUACGUGGGUGGCAAGCGUUAUCCGGAUUGAUUGGGGGUAAAGGGCGUGGAGGCGGGAAAGCAAGUUAGAUGUGAAAACUCAGGUCUCAACCCUGAGCCUGGAUUUGAAACUGUUUUUCUUGAGUGCUGGAGAGGCAAGCGGAAUUCCGUGUGUAGCGGUGAAAUGCGUAGAUAUACGGAGGAACACCAGUGGCGAAGGCGGAUUGCUGGACAGUAACUGACGGUGAGGCGCGAAAGCGUGGGGAGCAAACAGGAUUAGAUACCCUUGUAGUC
rnacentral:rRNA from 1 species